GUUGAGGAAGAUAAUGACGGUACUCAACAAGGAAGUGACGGCUAACUACGUGCCAGCAGCCGCGGUAAAACGUAGGUCACAAGCGUUGUCCGGAAUUACUGGGUGUAAAGGGAGCGCAGGCGGGARRACAAGUUGGAAGUGAAAUCCAUGGGCUCAACCCAUGAACUGCUUUCAAAACUGUUUUUCUUGAGUAGUGCAGAGGUAGGCGGAAUUCCCGGUGUAGCGGUGGAAUGCGUAGAUAUCGGGAGGAACACCAGUGGCGAAGGCGGCCUACUGGGCACCAACUGACGCUGAGGCUCGAAAGUGUGGGUAGCAAACAGGAUUAGAUACCCUGGUAGUCCACACCGUAAACGAUGAUUACUAGGUGUUGGAGGAUUGACCCCUUCAGUGCCGCAGUUAACACAAUAAGUAAUCCACCUGGGGAGUACGACCGCAAGGUUGAAACUCAAAGGAAUUGACGGGGGCCCGCACAAGCAGUGGAGUAUGUGGUUUAAUUCGACGCAACGCGAAGAACCUUACCAAGUCUUGACAUCCCUUGACGAUGCUGGAAACAGCAUUUCUCUUCGGAGCAAGGAGACAGGUGGUGCAUGGUUGUCGUCAGCUCGUGUCGUGAGAUGUUGGGUUAAGUCCCGCAACGAGCGCAACCCUUAUGGUCAGUUACUACGCAAGAGGACUCUGGCCGGACUGC
rnacentral:rRNA from 1 species